rnacentral:other from 1 species
CGUUCCCUGCGGUGUUCGAGCCGCUCAAAUACUCUUUGGACCAAUGCUAAGCUAGCGGUUGCCGAGCCAAUUGCGGGCCGGUGUGCGCUCCCACGCGGAAGCGCCUGAUGGCCCCGGCAGGCGACCCUCUUGAACCCCAGGUUCAGGAUGAUGGGCGGCACGGCACAGGCGGGGGACAC